GGUUGUAGCUCAGUGGUAGAGUGCUUGCUUAGCACGUGUGAGGCACUGGGUUCAAUUCACUGCACCA
rnacentral:tRNA from 1 species